rnacentral:rRNA from 1 species
UACGUAGGUGGCAAGCGUUGUCCGGAUUUACUGGGCGUAAAGAGCGCGCAGGCGGUCGUUCAAGUCGCGUGUGAAAGCCCCCGGCUCAACUGGGGAGGGUCACGCGAUACUGAUCGACUCGAAGGCAGGAGAGGGUAGUGGAAUUCCCGGUGUAGUGGUGAAAUGCGUAGAUAUCGGGAGGAACACCAGUGGCGAAGGCGACUACCUGGCCUGUUUCUGGACGCUGAGGCGCGAAAGCUAGGGGAGCAAACGGG